GCCCCCUGCGCGAGUCCUCAGCCCCGCCCCGGGCCUACGUCAGCGCAAGCCCCGCCCCUGCCCGGCCGCGCCCGCUCGCCGUCCCGCAGCCUCCUGGGAGGGCUACUCGGCCGCGCGCGGACCUCGGGCGCCUUCCAAGGGGCCGGUGGGCUGGGGGAUGGCGGGCGCGGGUGCACACGCGCACACACUCCCCGCGCGGGGCGCUCGGCCUCUGUCUCCUUCCGCUUGCCGUAGGAGGCGGUGCGGCGCUGAUAGUGGGCAACCACUACCGCCUCGGUGGACCGGUGCCGCGCAGCCGGUGCCCAGGUCUCCGGGGGCAGGUGAGUUUCCCGCCCCGAGGCCCUCGGACUGUCCGCACCGCCCGGAGACCCCGCCGGCGGCCUGUCCGCGGUUAACGUCGGCGGCCUUCCCUGUCCUCGCGGGUGGCAGGCGGCCCCGCGUCGGGCGCCCCAGUUUGUGGUGCCGAAGCGCUGGCAGGUUUCCUAGUCUGAGGCGCGCGCCGUUACUGUGAGGCUGUAGGUAAGCUGUCGCCGCCCCACGAGUGAUGAUGUGGGUUGUUUGCAGCCUCUGCCAGCGAGAGUUUUAUCAGUAAACACCCUGAGAGCAGUUGAGUCACAGCAGCACUCUUUACUCAGGAAAAGCCUACCCCCUGUGACUCACGGUCUUCACCUGACUGCCGAUCCGCUCGUCCUGUAAGCUCCCCAGCGAUGUGAGGAGGUGGAAGGAAAGCAAAGUGGACUUCAUGCUAUCUACCUGGUUUCCCCUCGCCCAUCCUCUACUUGUGUGACCUUGGAAAGAUCCCAGUACUUCUGGGUCCUGCUUUUCUUAAAUGUAAAGUGAGGUGUGGACGAGAUGUCUCAGGUUUAUCGUCAAACCCAGAAAUGGAAAUUGACAAGCAGAUGCUAAAAUUCACACGGCAGUGCAAGGGACUCAGAAUAGCCAAAAGAAUCAUGAAGAAAAAAGUUGAAACGUUCAUUCUUCCUGAUUUCAAAGCUGACUACAAAGCUAUAAUAAUCAAGAGUAUACAGGAGGUGAGAGAGAAAUUGAAGGAGUUGUUAAGCAAAAAUGAACCAGAAUUUGAAGAUUUGGAAAAUUCUUAGCUUAUCUGCAAUACGGUAACUUGCAAGAAAAAUGUAUUGGUGAUCAUUUUGUAAUAUGUUUAAAUGUCAAAUCACUAUGUUGUACACCUGAAACUAACAUGAUAAUGUACAUCAACUAUACUUCAGUUUUAAAAAAAGAAAUACACAUUUGGUCAUUCAGACAACUAAAAUAUAUCUCUCAUAUAUGUAUGGUCUUCAUCCAAGGUUCUUGACACAGCUCCCAAAACCCUUGGAAUUUCCUGAGGGACGAGAGCAACAGGAACUUCUGUUGUAGUGUUCAGUCCUUGUUCCUCAGUUCCUGAAAUCACUUUCAGAGCCAUAAAGGUGAAAUAGUAUCCUGUUAUUUAAGUGUUUAUGUUAAUGAGGUGACUUUUGGAAAGCCCUAAGGAUGGAGGUCGUUAGCAAAGGACUCAACCAGGGAGUACAGGGUUGGAACUUCAGCCCCACCCUCUUACCUCCAUGGAGGGGAGAGAAACUAGAGGCUGAAUCAGUUGCCAAUGACCAAUGAUUUGAUCAAUCAUAUCUAAGUAAUGAAGCCUCCACAACACUCCACAAGGACAGGGUUCAGAGAGCUGCCUGUUGGUGACUUCCUGGAGAAUGGGGAGAGUGGCAAGCAGGAGGGGGCUUGUUAUCUCUGCGCUGUCUCCCCAUGCCUUGCCCUGUGUGUCUCUUCCAUCUGGCUGUUCUUUUUAUAAUAAAUCAGUCAUCCAGUGUGUAAAAAUUUUUCUCUGAGUUCUGUGAGCCACUCUGGCAAAUUAAUAAAACCCAAGAAGUCAGUCGUGAGAAACUCUGAUUAAUAACCCAGUCAGUCAGAAGUACAGGUCACAGCCUGGACUUGCAGUUGGCAUCCUGAGUUGGGAGUGAUUGUUGGAACCGGUAGUUUGUGGCCAGUGGGUCAAAAGCACGGGUAACAACCUGGCUUGCACCUGGCAUCCUGAGAUGGGGGAGAGGGGUGUACAGCAGUCUGUGAGCUACACAGCCUGAUGCUGUCUCUGUGUAGAUAAUGUCAAAAUUGAGCCGAGGUGUAGGACACCCAGCUGCUACCCAGAGACUUGCUCCUUGUUGGUAUGGGGAACCAUCCCACUCCUCACAUGUUGGAAUUACGUGCAGAACCCAGUUACUAUCCAUAUCACACAAAAAGAAAAUGUCCUGGGAAACAUGUCAAGGGUGUAGCUGGACAACCAUUUGAUAAAGAGAUCAUGGGUCCAAUUCAUGGAUUUCAUCAGUCGUCUCAUAAGUAGCCAGGAAUAGAACUAAGAUUAUACCGGCAGAAACACUGCCAAUUUGGACUAAGGGCAUAGAGACAAGAAAAUGCAGGAAUGCUGUCAGACUUCUGAGAUUCUUAGGAUAGGACACUAGAGCUAUCUGGCUGCCAGUUACAUUACCCGUCAAGAAGAUGGAAAAAUGACAACAAACGGGAUUCAGAGAUCAACACAGCUGCUACUCCAGCCACCAGCUCACAGAAUACAAGUCUAGGGGGCAAGGCUGUCUCCUUGGUUUCAGUGGAGCCUGCAAAAACCAAUGCCUCAGGAAUAAAACUGCUGCCCAGGGCUGAGGGGAUGGAGUCACCACUCAGGACCAGGAGGAUACGGUUGCCACCCCAGUGGGCCCAGGGGGCAGAGCACUGAGCCCAAAGGGUUCUUCCUGAGCCUUAAAAAAGGCUCAGUUCAAGGCAUGCUUUGGGCCAUUCCCUUUUCUGAUUUCUCUCUUUUAGAAUGGAAUAUCUUUGUAUGCCUGUCUCAGCACUGUAUUUUGGAAGCACAUAACUUGUAUCACAGGCUCACAGCUAGGGAGGAAUUUUGUCUUAGAAUGAAUCAUAUCUCAAGUCUCAACCAUACCCAAGGAUCAGGUGAGACUUUGUGCUUAGAGUCAAUGCUGGAAUGGGUUAAGACUUGGGAUUGGGGUGAAUGUGUUUUGCAUGUGAGAAGGGCAAGAAUUUGGGGUAUCCAGAGGACAGAGUGUUUUGGACAGAGUGUUUAUGUAUGGAAGCCCUAACCCACAUGUGUCUGUAUUUGGCGACAGGGUUGUUAAAGAGCCAACUGAGGUUAAAUGAGGUCAUAUGCAGUCUAUGGUAUUUUGUUAUGUCAGCCCUAGUGGGCUGAUUCAGGCAGCACCAGGAAAAAAACAGAUAACUCACAGAGUGAGAAAAAAAUUUUGGAAACCAUAUACCUAAUAUUUUAUCUAGAACAUUUAAAUGCUUAAAACUCAACAAUAAAAAUACAACUCAUUAAAAAUAGGUACAGGAUUUGAGUAGAUAUUUCUCUAAGGAAGUUGUAUAAAUAGCCAAUAAGUAUGUAUAAAAAUGCUCAACAUCAUCAGUUAUUAGGGAAAUGCAGUGGAAUCCACUUCAUAACCAUUAGGAUGGCCAUAAUCAAAAAGGUGUGUAACUGUCAGUGAGAAAUCAGAACCAUUAGAGACACCUGGUGGAAAUAUAAAAUGGUACAGUCACUUUGUGCAACAGUCUGACCCUUACCUUCUAGGGACUUCCUAGACUGUCCAGUGGUUAAGACUGCCCUUCUACUGCAGGGAGCACGGGUUUGAUCCCUGCUCCAGGAACUAAGAUCUCACAUGCCACAUGGUGUGGCAAAAAAACAAACAAACCAGCAAUUCUACACCUAGCUGUAUAUGUAAGAGAAUUUAAAAUAUCCACACAAAACCACAAUAAUUUGUAUAUGAAUGCUAUAGCAUCAUUAUUCACAAUCACUGAGCAGUGGAAACUAAAUCAUGAAUAAAUUACCAAAAACCAUAAUUUUUAAUUUCUGGCCUGCAAGAAAGUAAAGGAAUUGUUCUCAAAGACUCAGUAGCUUAUAAGAAGGCAAAUAUUUAUUUCUAACUUAGCUGGAGUUUGACAGCUGGAGGAGGGGCGGUCAGCUGCUGUGCUGAAUCCGAUCCACCUAUCACCUGCGUUUUGUUUUCCUCAUGAUGAAAAACAAGCAUGCAGGAGGUAAGCUGAGGAAACUCAUUGCAGCCUCUGCUCAGGUGUGUCAUACGUCAUUAACCAAAGUAAGUCACGCAGCAAGGUCCAGCAUCAUGGUGUGGGAAAGUACAUGCCUUUCCCCUUAAGAAAACUUCCGAAAAAAUUGUGCACACCGCUUGUUUAUAUCCCAUGGUAAGAGCUUAGCUCACGGUCAUUCCUUGCUGAAGGGCCAAUUGGGAAAUGCAGAUUUUAUUGUGG
ensembl:lncRNA